rnacentral:lncRNA from 10 species
CCCUUCCUUCUACAAAGUGUAGCUGUUGUCUUCUUUCCCGCUCUCGAUAUGGGGUGAAGUGUUGAGCAACAUAAGAAGCUGGAGUCUCUUUCAAAGACAUCUGUACUCUAAAGGUAGCAGGUUUAUCAAAUGGCCACAAUUUGAGCAGAUGAGGAAAUGGAGGCUCGGUGAGGCUAAAUGCAAGUUCACAAAGCUAAUCUAUCCUUUUCAUCCCUCACACCUGGCCCAGGCCCAACACCUGGCACAGAGCGUGGCUCCUGCCAAGCCAUCUCGAGUGGUUUCUUCAGUGAAGAUGUGGGCAACCUCGAAAAGAACACAGAAGGUCAAGAGCAUCUGUGAAUAAACCACGGCUUUCCCUAGCCCAUUUGUUGGCAGCUCUCAAGCUAUCAGGGGCUUCCAGUCUGCAGGCUUACAGAUUGAUUUGUGAAAAGAGAAGGCCUCAGGGCUUGGAUUGACCAGCUGAGUACACUGCAGGUUAUACUACAGGGGAGACUGGCAUUUAUGAAAUGGAAGUUUCACAGGCAGAUAAUCUCUCCUGGACCUUUGGGCUUGAGGAAAAAAAGGGCAGGAAGGAGAACAGAAUUUUUACAGCCUUGUAUAUAAAGAUCUUCUUGUAAAACCAAACUUCAAAGGGAUAGAGAAUAUCGUUCCUUUCCAAUGAGUUCAUUAAUUAUCACAGCAUCUCUGCAAGGGAAGCACACUGGAUGGAAUAUUUCUCAGAUGAAGAAACUGAGUGUGAAAAGGUUUGAUUAUUAGCAGACUAGAAAAAUAUAACAUCAUACUUCCAGGCUCCUCUUCCAGUGUGCCAGCAACCUCCACCAGGCCAUUUAGGCACUCGUUAAAGAAACAUUUAUGGAGACCCUGCUUUAUGCCAGGCACUGUGCAGGGAGACAGGAAAUAUGGUCCCUGUCUUGGAGGGUUCCACAUGUCACUUGGUCACCAGGGAAGUUUGCAGAGUCUAAACAGGCAAACAAAUACCUGUGACACAAGGUGCUAAGUAGAAGGAUAGAAGAAUGGAGAAAGAGCAAAGAAGUCGCAGAAAGGAAAGUGAUGAUUAUUUUUGCCUGGGAAGAUUAAAAAAGACAUUAACUGAAAUCUUUAGUUCAUCACAAGAUUUUGACAGCCGGCAUUAGCAAAGUUCUGGAUUAACCCUUUGAAUGAAUUUGUUAAAUGAGGAUAAGCCUUCCCUCCACAUUACUGUGUUUUCACAAUCUUACAGAAUUUGUUAUCCACACCCCUACCUCCACCAGCAAUUCAAAUGUGCUAUGAAGACAGUUGCCAUAAUCCCCAACAUUUACUCAUUGCUUAUCAUGUACUAUACUAAUGUUGUUCCGUGAACUAUCCCAUUUAAUUCUCAUAGCAAAUCUAUAAGUAAAAAAUGUUUGUGUCUCCAUUGUACAGAUGAAGGAGGUUAAAGGGAUUAAGUAACUUGCCCAAGUGUUCACACUGAGAAAAAUCAGAUUUCAGAUCACUGGUAUUUAAGGAAGAGCAGCCCUUGCUCAAAUUAAGGAGGGUAAUUAUUUGUUUUGGUUACACGUCUAUUGAGUUACACAAAUUAGCAUUCAUUUUUGGAGCUAAAAAUUAAUUAAUAGCAUUUAUUUAGAUACAGUUAAUAUUCACCUUUCAUAUAAAUUUUUCCUGUUUCUCUCUUUGUAACACCCAAACUGCCCCUCCUCUAAAAAACACUCUUAAUAGAAAUGUAAAUAAAAUCACUAAUUGUAUGUCAUAUUAUGAGCUACAUAGUUGAGCUGAUGGACAAUAGUUCCCCAAGUUCAAAAUACCUUUCAUCUACGCAUUAAUGGUGACUUAUAAAGAGGCAGCUUGGGUUUUUUUAAGCUUCAGCUCAAAAUAUCCUUGACUGGGUGUGUUAAACCAAAGCACCUAAUUAGAGAUGACUUAAAGUAAUACCUUCCUUUGUCACUUAAUAUCUUCUAACCACGAAAAUCCUGAGGUUUUUACCUGUACCACAGAAACCUCACUUCCAAAGACAUGAUAAUCACUGUAGGCUUUUAGCCUCCUGAACUCAGACAAUGUGGAACGCCAGGACUCAUCUCCACCGUUACUAUAAUGGAAAAUUUCUGAUUACCGCAAUCUUCCAGCAGAGUUAAGUAGAAUCCCACAACAAAUAUCCAUUUAGAGAAAAGUGACUCACCAAUGAAUUAAUUAUUCAGAGGAUCAGUGUAGAUGGCAUUUAAAUGCUCAGUUUUUAGCCUCACAUUGCCUGGGUUUGAAUCCCAUUGCCUCUACUAAGUAUGUGACAUUGGGCUAGUUUUUCAAACUUGCUAAAUUGAAUUUACCUCAUUAGUAAAAUAUAGAUGAUAACUGGUGGAGACUGAAAGUUGCCCAGAGACCUAAUGGGUUUAGAUAAGAUUUCAAAGAAGCCUGAAUGUCUAUAAAUAAACGACCAGUGCCAGCACUGAAAUCCUUUCUCUCACAGUAGUAGAAUAAUGGCUGAGUACAUGCCUGCUCUACCAGACUGUAUUUCCUUGUCUCUCUUACAGCCGGGUGCAGCCAUGACUGAAUUAUCUCUAAGGGAGUAGGAAUGGGAAUUAGGUCAGGACACAGGGAUCCUGGGGGUGCACUCCUCAUGCUCUCUUUCCCCUUUCUCCUGCCUAUAGAUGGUAACAACUGCAACAAUUAUGGAAGACACAUGCUGAGGAACCACCCCAGCAUCCUGGGUCCCUGGAUGGAGCAGAGGCAUAUAUUUACGAGACUUAUGAGAAAAGCAGACUUCUAUCCAGUUUGAGUCAUUACAUUUUGGCGUAUUUAUAUAAUAAUAGUAUCUAAAUUAUAAAAUACUUACAAGGGUUGAGAAAGGUAAUUCAUGAGCUCUUAGCACAGUGUCUGGCACUUCAUAUAACAAAGCAUCAGCUAUUCAUGUGAGAGAUAGUGUAGGGGGUAACAGGGGAACUUUGCACCCAGAAUCUGUGUUCAAAUUCCGGCUGUUUCUUAAAAACCUGUUUAAACAGAGAGAUGCUUUGUAGUAGGGAAAGAACGACAUGAGAAGUUUCCUUCUUAUUCAGGAUCUGGCUGAGAAAACCUGUGGGCAAAGUUAGGGAUUCUUUGCAUUAUCAUCCUGAUGUUAGUUCAUUUCUGCAGUGAAACCAAGCUACUGCAGAGUUCCAAGUGCUGUGACUCAGAAGCUCUCAGCUGACCCAGAAAACCUUCAGCCAGAUUAUAGAAGACACAAGGUCAAAUAGAUAAGAAUCUAAAAGCCAAACAGAAGCCUCUAAUUAAUGCCAACAAUCUGCUCUUUAUAGCUCCAGUUUGGUCACUAGUUGACUGUUAAAUUAACUGUAGUUCAUUUCCUGGUACAGUCAACUUACAAUUAGACAUAAUAAUGAAGGGAAGUAAUGACAUUCAUGAUUUAAAAUAGCAAGUAAUACAAAAAUAAUUUUAUUUGGCUUUGGAAUUGUCGGCAUGUAGCACAUACACGUAUAUUUACUCUUUAUCAUAUACACAGGGAAAUGCCCCCUCCCAAAAGAAUUGAAAACAAUUGGCUAUCUCUGUUUUUCUGUUGCUAAUUUUCUAUUCCUGUGAUUAACUUUACACAGGACUAAAAUAAAAUUAUUUGCUUUCUUACUAGUGUGAUUAUGUGAAAUCAUUCCUGGACUGGUAUUUUAUUAAAAGACAUUCAAGCAUCUUUUAAAUCUUAACUUGACUCAUCAGGUUUCUUGAAAAUGUGAACUGUAUUUCCUCCAGCACAAUCACAAACUCCAUUCUGGUUGGGGCUGAAAGAUCCUGUCCAGGAUGCUGUUGUCCAGCUACGUCUCUCUACCCACUCCCUUCUGUGUAUGUGCCCUAUUACAAAAGGAGAGUCAAUGGAGAGACCUGAAAUUCUUUAAUGAACCGUUUUCAGUUUGGUUGUUUCAUUUCUAAGGAGCUUCACUUUUAGUGGGGCUCUUCAGGAAGAAAGGUAUUUAAGGACUACAGGAGACGAUUUGUUUCCUAACCUUUUGACCCAAGUCAAGGGUCUGGUUUUCUCCAGGCACAUUCUAUUAUCAACAGCAGGAUAUACAAGACCACAGAAGUGUACAGAGGGGAUAAUUAACAUUGGGAGGAAAAAAGUAACCUGCACUCCAUAGCUACUGAUAAGAAAGCAGCAGCAUUGCCUCCUAAAUCAGCUCCUGGAAACUCAAAGAAAGUUGGAUUUUGCUUAUGCCUGAAAUGUAGGACUUUCCAAAAGAGUCUCUUGGCAGAUGGAUAUGACUGGAUGUCAUUGCCUCAUUUCUGCUUCUGGAAUGUUGUCCAUUGCUUUUUCAGACAGUGGAGCUAUGAGUGAGUCAG